GGGGCGUAAUACCGAAUGCGCUCGCCGGGUCGCAUGACCUGGUGAGGAAAGGGUCGCAAGAUCGCUGGAGGACGGUCCCGCGGCCUAUCAGCUUGUUGGCGGGGUAACGGCCCACCAAGGCGAUGACGGGUAGCUGGCCUGAGAGGGUGGUCAGCCACACUGGAACUGAGACACGGUCCAGACUCCUACGGGAGGCAGCAGUUGGGAAUCUUGGGCAAUGGGCGCAAGCCUGACCCAGCGACGCCGCGUGGGGGAUGAAGGCCUUCGGGUUGUAAACCCCUGUCAGGAGGGACGAAGCCGCAAGGUGACGGUACCUCCAGAGGAAGCCCCGGCUAACUACGUGC
rnacentral:rRNA from 1 species